rnacentral:rRNA from 1 species
CCCGCUGAACUUAAGCAUAUCAGUAAGCAGAGGAAAAGAAACUAACUAGGAUUCCCGUAGUAACGGCGAGUGAACUGGGAACAGUCCAGCGCUUAAUCCGUCUCCCCGUACAGGGAGAUUUGGAAGUGUAGCGUAUAGACGGUUGUCGGUGAGUCGGCAUCGGCGAUAUAAGUCCUCCUUGAAGGGAGUUCCACAGAAGGUGAAAGGCCUGUUAUGUUGUCAUCGUCGGCUUGCCGUUCGGCGAUUGUCUUGGAGUCGAGUUGUUUGGGAUCGCAGCUCAAAUCGGGUGGUAAAUUUCAUCUAAGACUAAAUAUGACCACGAGACCGAUAGCGAACAAGUACCGUGAGGGAAAGUUGCAAAGCACUUUGAAGAGAGAGUUAAAUAGGACGUGAAACCGGUGAGGUGGAAACGGAUAGAGCCGACGUAUCUAGCUCGUAUUCAGCUACUCACUGGUCGUUGAAUCGGCCGGUAGUGGUGCAUUUGCGGGCAGAGUGCGCUGAGACCUACGAUGGAAUACGGAUGUUGGCUCUGUGGGCGUGCUUCGGUACGUAUCCCAAGUCGACGGAAAGUCGUUUUGUUGUAUGCAUAUGGCUGAUGGAGUCGUGGCUUGUGAUUGGCGUAGGUUUUUGGGUUGCAUGCAACUUCCAUUAAGUCGAAACUGAUUGCCUGUCCGAUGAAGUUAUGCUCGUAUCUCGGUGUUGAAGUUGGUCAUCUAUCCGACCCGUCUUGAAACACGG